CAAACUUAUGGGCCUGUAGUCCUAAAAUUGGAACGAUACAGAGAAGAUUAGCAUGGCCCCUGCGCAAGGAUGACACGCAAAAUCGUGAAGCGUUCCAAAUUUUU